rnacentral:sRNA from 1 species
GAGGAUUGCAUUCAGUCUAGUUCCUGGUUGCCGGCUGAAAUAACCUGACUGAGAGCAUCACCCCCUGAACAUGGACUUGCAGAAUUCCACAGAAGAGAGGAGAUUGGCCUAGACAGACAGCCCCAGGAGCUGAGGGCCCAAUGGGCUUUCUACUCUGGAUGCUGCUCCCAUGCUCUGACACGAUGCCUACUACAAUGAAUUCAAGCCAGGAAGAAGCAGCAUUCUGUCUUCUGGAUUAAAACUGAAGAUCAACCUACUUUCAACUUACUAAGAAAGGGGAUCAUGGACAUUGAAGCAUAUCUUGAAAGAAUUGGCUAUAAGAAGUCUAGGAAC